AAAAAUAUAAAUGUGUUCGCAAUGAAUAUGUUGUUUUGUGCUUGAUGAAUAAAGCUGUUAUUUUUGAUAGGUGACCUAGUGUAGCAUACUUACUCUAUGUAUUGCAUCCAUCGUGGGAGCCAACGUCUUGUGUUGUAAAAUAAACUUUCAAUAAAGAGUUUACUGUUUUCACUCUACACAAUAUUGUUCGAAACCCUUUGAGACUAUUAACCCUAGAAUGACAAUAGGUUAUACACAUACG